AACGAACGCUGGCGGCAUGCCUAACGCAUGCAAGUCGAACGAGACCUUCGGGUCUAGUGGUGCAUGGGUGUGUAACGCGUGGGAUCCUGCCCUUAGGUUUGGAAUAACUCUCCGAAAGGGGUGCUAAUACCGGAUAAUGUCUUCGGACCAAAGAUUUAUCGCCUUUGGAUGGGCCGGCGUUGUAUUAGCUAGUUAGUAGGGUAAAAGACUACCAAGGCGUCGAUCCAUAGCUGGGUAGAGAGGAUGAUCAGCCACACCUGGAGUGAGACACGGCCGGGACUCCUACGCGAGGGGGGAAAGGGUAAUAUAGGAAAGUGGCGGGAGGGCUGAAGCAGCUAGGACGGGAAAGUGAUGUAGGCCGGAAGGUUGUAAAGCUUUUUUACCCGUGAUGAUAAUGACGGUACCGAGAGAAUAAGCUCCGGCUAACUCCGUG
rnacentral:rRNA from 1 species